rnacentral:rRNA from 1 species
AAUAGAUACCCGGGUAGUCCAUGCCGUAAACGUUGGGAACUAGGUGUGGGUCUCAUUCCACGAGAUCCGUGCCGCAGCUAACGCAUUAAGUUCCCCGCCUGGGGAGUACGGCCGCAAGGCUAAAACUCAAAGGAAUUGACGGGGGCCCGCACAAGCGGCGGAGCAUGCGGAUUAAUUCGAUGCAACGCGAAGAACCUUACCAAGGCUUGACAUACACCGGAAUCACUCAGAGAUGGGUGCGUCUUCGGACUGGUGUACAGGUGGUGCAUGGUUGUCGUCAGCUCGUGUCGUGAGAUGUUGGGUUAAGUCCCGCAACGAGCGCAACCCUCGUUCUAUGUUGCCAGCACGUGAUGGUGGGGACUCAUAGGAGACUGCCGGGGUCAACUCGGAGGAAGGUGGGGAUGACGUCAAAUCAUCAUGCCCCUUAUGUCUUGGGCUUCACGCAUGCUACAAUGGCCGGUACAAAGGGCUGCGAAACCGCGAGGUGGAGCGAAUCCCAAAAAACCAGUCUCAGUUCGGAUUGGGGUCUGA